AAAAUUUUGUAAAUAGAGCAAUUUUGUAAACAGAGCAUGGCAUGGAAGGGAGGCUUUUGCUCGCAUCGAUAAGGGAAGGGAGAGGGAGGCAGAGCGUGGGCAGGGCAAGACGGCAACAUACCUGAGCCCAGAGUCAUCACUACCUCAGAUCCAGUCACCGCCCCAGGUCAGAUCUAGUAGCGGCCAGAUUUUAACAUGUGUCUCAGAAGGGAAACAUGUUUCCGAUUUCAAUGAUUUAUGGAAACGGCCCUGAUAUGUUUCCUAGGCAUGUCCGUGCGUUUUCGACGAAGAAACAUUUUCGAAACAGGGAAACGCUGGCUCUCCUUAUUUUCGUGCAUCGCAGUAACUCACUCAUGGAAAAGCAAAAGAGGUUCUAAUGUAAAGAAAUCUGCAGGUAAUUUGUAUAUAUUUUCCUUUGAACAUGAGAUUAAUGUUGUUUUGUGAUGGAAAAUUGAUUGUGGUUUAUCAGUAACAAGCUUUUGGUAGCGAAGGACAUUGAUUUCUCUAAUGGCAUUGAUUUAUCAGUAAGCUCUUAACAUCUUAAUAAAGGACAUUUAUUUCUCUAAUGGCAGUAACAUCUAAUAAGAGCUACUAAGCCUAUGUCAAUGUGUUAAAAGCCCCUCCCAACUCGUUUUGUAAUGUUGUUAACAUGAUUAAGGAAAAAAAUGUUUGGAUUAAUUUCAAACAUCAGAAGAUAUCAUACUUUUGUUUUCUCUACCUCAAAGCUUUAGAAAUAUUAAACGAGGCUUCCAGUUCACAUACCUACCAAAAUAAUCUUAAAAUUCAAUUUAAGCCCAACACUUGUUCAGCAUAGUGGACCCCUUUUACUUCAGAACUUAGGCCCUAAGCUUCUACAUAUCAAUGCCCUUACUUCCACCACAUUUGAAUCUUAGCCCAAAGAUACCAUAAAUCUACAUCAUUCACCUCUAUUCCAAACUCUCCUCCUAGCCCACUUUAACACCAAGCCCAAAGCUUCUUCUCAAGUUUACGGUAAGCCUCUUUCCUCUGGAUACAUUCAUAACGUAUGAGAAUAUUUCCUUGCUAGCUCAUUAAGGUCUAUUUAGAUGAAAGUGAAGGAGGAGUAAAUAAAAAUAAAGAGGGGUAAGUGAGUUAUAUACUUCUAUUUAGAAAGGAGUGAAUUAAUGGAGGAUAUGAGUAAGUAGGACAUGGUAAUUCUUUGAAAAUAAAACUUAAUUGACAGAAGAUGGUCUGCUUAGUGUUACUAUCAAACCUACCCUAAUUAGACCUUAAAAUUGAUCUAACUUAGCUCUCUUGCCUUUAUCCCCAACAUCCUUGACCUUGCACUUGGAACGUCAACUGCUAUGGUUCCAAAAAAACUAGACUGAAGAACAUAACAAGUAGAGUUCCUAAUCACUGUGGCAUUCUCAUCCAAGAAAUCUAAUAAGACUUUUAGAGUACGACUUUUUUGUCAAUGAGAAGGGCUAAAUCUAGUAAGAAGACAAGUGUCUAUUUUUUUUCAUUCCUUUCUACAUCCAUACGAGUAGCAAUGAGACCUCCUCCUAUUAUAUAACCAAUUAACCACUAUUUUCAUCCACCAUCCUGGAAAUUAGAGGUUAUAUUAGUAUCAUCCUUAAAUUUUAAUUUGUAUCACAAAAGUACUCUAACUUUAAUUUUACACAACAUAAAGUCCCUUUAACCGAUUUUCGAUAGACUUCGACCAAAAGUUGACAUGGACAUGCUUAAGUGAAAUAAAAAUAAUUAAAAAAUAUUCUCUCUACCACAUGGCAUUUUAACAAUAAAAAAGUUUCUCUUUGAUCUCUUUAUCCCUCUCUCUCUCUCUCACUCUUCAUUCCAUCCCAUAGACUAAAAUCAAUUGCAAAACAAAACCACAUUUGUUUUAAUGAAACCCAAAUGCAAAUGAAAAUCAACAUUGAAAAGAAAAAAAAAAAACCCAAAUGUAAUAUAAAUAUCAUUCAUUAGAAUACCCAAAUGCAAUACCAUUAAACUCAAUUUAUCACAAUACCCAGCCUUGUUUAUCGAUGGAGACGGCAAGAACCCAAGCUUCUCCAUUACGAUUCAUCAGCACUCUCUCUUCCUAAACCCACUCUACAUCCACCAAAACAUCUACUCAAACCAACUGUACUUCUCUUUCCGUUCCUACCCAUUCCAUCAUCUCUUUAGUUUGCCAUUUCGAUUUUCUCUAUUGUUCACUCUUAUUCCUUUCCAAAUCUCCUCAAUUACAGUCAUUGUCCUUGGGAAUGUAAGCUCAUCAAGAACCUAGCUCAACUCAUCCAUGAUUGUGGAUCUACUCACCUCCAUCUCUCUAAAGAGGCUUAUCAAUUUGACAUCUAGGCUUUCUUGACAAGUUUUUAACGUAUAGGCUCCAGGUUGAGUAUGAUAAUUUCAAGAUUCUUACUUCUCAA
rnacentral:misc_RNA from 1 species